rnacentral:lncRNA from 1 species
UGAGGCAUCACUGUGCAUAAAAACUACCGAACUGGCUCAGAUCAAUGGUCUGUCUUGUCCAGUAUUUUGCCUUUUAAAGGACUUAAAAGAAUAUGCAAUUUGGAGACAGAAGUAUCUGGAUUUGGGGCUUGUUUCUACCACUUUGAACUGCAAGACCAAGUUAUUUAUCUACUCCCAGCCUCAAUGUACUCAUCUGUAAGACCGCACUAAUAAUACCUUCUUCUUGGUGAUAUUGUGAAAAUUCAACCAGAUGCUAUCUUUAAAAAUACUUUAUAGACUGUUCUGCAGUCUAAGUAUGUGAAUUAA